AAUAAGUUGGCAGAAUAGUGCAUUUGAUUUAGGAUCAAAAUAUAGAAAUUCCAUUCUACUUAUUA
rnacentral:tRNA from 3 species